GAUGAACGCUGGCGGCGUGCCUAAUACAUGCAAGUCGAGCGAACGGACGAGAAGCUUGCUUCUCUGAUGUUAGCGGAGGACGUGUGAGUAACACGUGGAUAACCUACCUAUAAGACUGGGAUAACUUCGGGAAACCGGCGCUAAUACCGGAUGAUAUUUUGAACCGCAUGGUUCAAAAGUGAAAGACGGUCUUGCUGUCACGUAUAGAUGGAUCCGGGCUGCAUUAGCUAGUUGGUAAGGUAACGGCUUACGAAGGCAACGAUGCAUAGCCGACCUGAGAGGGUGAUAGGCCACAUUGGAACUGGGACACGGACCAGACGCCUACGGUAGGCAGCAGUCGGGAAUCUUCCGCAGCGGGCGAAAGCCUGACGGAGCAACGGCGCGUCAGUUAUGAAGGCGUUCGGAUCGUAAAAAUCUGUUAUUAGUGAAGAACAUAUGUGUAAGUAACUGUGCACAGCUUGACGGUACCUAAUCAGAAAGCCCCGGCUAACUACGUG
rnacentral:rRNA from 1 species